UACGGGGGGGGCAAGCGUUGUUCGGAAUUAUUGGGCGUAAAGGGCGCGUAGGCGGCGCGGUAUGUCACCUGUGAAAUCUCCUGGCUCAACUGGGAGCUUGCAGGCGAAACUGCCGUGCUGGAGUGUGGGAGAGGUGCGUGGAAUUCCUGGUGUAGCGGUGGAAAUGCGCAGAUAUCAGGAGGAACACCGGUGGCGAAGGCGGUUCUCUGGGCAUUACCUGACGCUGAGGAGCGAAAGUGUGGGGAGCGAACAGG
rnacentral:rRNA from 1 species